rnacentral:sRNA from 1 species
ACUAAUCAAGCUUCUUCUUGCUUCUAGAAGUUUUGAUGGUGUAGCUGAAGUCCGUAUGAGUCUUUAAAUUUGUAUCUUUUAACAAGGAAACACUACUUAGGCUUUUAAGAUCCAUUUGCAGUUCUAGUUCUUAUACUCAAUCAUAGACAUGA